rfam:Pelosinus fermentans B4 ctg6, whole genome shotgun sequence.
AACAUGCGAUGACGUGAAAGGUUGCCUGCAAGGUGCGGGGGGAAUUUUCACGGAGAAUGUCCGUUCUAGAAACUGGGCGAUAA